UGUGUCCUACGGGGCGCAGCAGUAGGGAAUCUUCCACAAUGGGCGAAAGCCUGAUGGAGCAACGCCGCGUGGGUGAAGAAGGUCUUCGGAUCGUAAAACCCUGUUGUUAGAGAAGAAAGUGCGUGAGAGUAACUGUUCACGUUUCGACGGUAUCUAACCAGAAAGCCACGGCUAACUACGUGCCAGCAGCCGCGGGAAUACGUAGGUGCCAAGCGUUAUCCGGAUUUAUUGGGCGUAAAGGG
rnacentral:rRNA from 1 species